rnacentral:rRNA from 1 species
GCUAGUAAUCGCGAGUCAGCAUAUCGCGGUGAAUACGUUCCCGGGUCUUGUACACACCGCCCGUCACACCAUGGGAGUUGGCAACACCCGAAGUCGAUGAGCUAACCGCAAGGAGGCAGUCGCCUAAGGUGGGGUUGAUAACUGGGGUGAAGUCGUAACAAGGUAUC